rnacentral:piRNA from 1 species
UCUUAACGUCUUGAUAUAUGA